rnacentral:lncRNA from 1 species
CGUUAUUUAUUGAAGGAUCCUGGUUUUGGUCUUUUUAUGUCCAGUUCUUCAUUAUUUCAACUACUUAUUUUUUGCGAUCCUGAUUGGGGUACUUGUCCUGAUUCUCGAAAAUCAAUUAGCGAAUUUUAUAUCUCUCUUGGCUCUUUUCCUAUCUCGUGGAAAUCAAAGAAACAAGCUUCAAUCUCACUCAGUUCAGUUGAAGCCGAGUAUAGAUCGAUGAGACGAGUAGUAGACGAACUGACCUGGUUGGUGCGUUUAUUCGAAGAUCUUUCUGUUCCAAUCUCCUUGUCGGUACCUCUUCACUCUGAUAGUCUAGCUGUCAUUCAUAUCGCAAAGAAUCUUUUUUUUCACGAACGAACGAAGCAUAUCGAAAUUGAUUGUCACUUCAUCC